GGGCGGGGCCUGCGAGCGCCGCGCCGGCGCUGGCCCCCGCCCGGGACCGGGCAUUCCCGUGGCGGCGUCGGCCUCGUUGUUGUGACCCGGUCCUUCCUGGGACCCGGCACCGAGCGCUCCCCGUGCACCGGGCGGGAGCGAGGGCGCCGCACGCAGAGGACAGCGCGCAGCAGGGCUGACCCCGCAACCCUGGGUGUCCGCGCUUGCACGAGCUCGGCUCUGCAGCUUGAAAUGGCAGCUAAGGAGUGGAGGCCUGGCUGUCAGAGGUGAGGACAACAGGCCAGGAACAGCCCUGGACAGAGGGCAGCAACCCCACUAAGUCAUGUGAUGGCUCUCUGACACCAUAGCCGUCCGUCUGCAGAUGGAGGAGAGCCAGGAGCAUGCAUGAGGCAGGGCCGAGGGUCUCUGGCCAAGGGGGCAGACAGGACAAUUGACCUGCCUGCUCUCUCCGGGACCUCGUCAGCAACAACACCCCGACCUUGACCUUGAACCCUGGGCUCCCGAAUGCAACUCUGGCCAUGUCUCUGCUGGGAUAUCUUUAGGGAGCGCAGGCUCUGAUACCGAUACCUCAACUCCUGGUCUUCCUGGAAGCUGACUACUCAUCCUCGCCCGCGCCACAGAAGGAGGGCUCCAUCCUGCCUGCUCAGCCAGGACGCUGGGGUCCUUUCUUCCAAGCCGCCUGCCGUCAGCACACCCCUCCGAAUCUGGCUGUAGCAUGCCACCCCCACUCUGGACCGAGCGCCAUUGACUGCCCCAGAAUUCGUGCAAGGCCUCCGGACUGGUCUCCGCGUCUUCCCUUGACACUUCCUCCCCUAACGUCUGUCCUCAGCACAGAGUGGUAACUUGUACAACACACUAGUCGAGCCAUGUCUCUCCUCUGCUCAAAAGCCUCCAGGAGCUUCACUCAGAGCAAAAGCCCAAGGGCAGGGUGAUUCCAGGGCGUCAGAGAAAGCUGGGACGAUGGAACUGUGUGGGUGGCAGUGGUAGUUCUUGGGUGUAUACGUGGGGCAAAACUCACUGAAGUGUGCCGGCUACAUAUGUGCAGUUACAUCUCAAUAGAGCAGGAAAGAAAGAAGAAACCAGAAGCCAUGGCACAAGCAGUGAGAGGAGACUGCACCCCACCCAGCCCACCGCUCCCUCCUCCCCAGAGAGGGCGCUGUCCUCACUCCUGGGCCACCCGCCCCCCGGGGCACUGGCCUGUCCUUUGCACCCACCUGCUGCUCCUCCUCACCUCCCACGGGCCAUCCUCGGUGUGGGAUCACUCCAUUCACUCACAAACUCAGGGCGAGGCUGCCCGUCUUCACAGAACAGAGCAGGACUUGCUCUCUCCUCAUGCUGUGUUUCUGUGCUUGUCUUCGCAACAGGACUCCUCGGAAGAGCCAUCUACACUCAGCCUCUCCAACUUCUCUUUCAAGCCCUCAGGCCUCUGCCCUGCCCCUACUCCAACAAAACGCCCUGGUCCAGGCACCCAAGACCCCAUGGGGCUCUGUCCAGGGGGCCUUUGUCAUCUCCAUGACCCCCGGUGCUGCUGUCCCCUGAAAUACUUUCCCCAUGGCCCGCUCUCCAUCUGCGCUGCCCCACAACUGGCACCUUCCAGCCCCUCUGCUGUCCUCCUUCUGUCCUCUCCCUGAGGCUCUUCUCCUGGCCGGUGGUCGCUCCACCCAUGGUUUUGAGCCUGGUCCAGAUGCUGGCUGCCCUCCAGUGAGCAGCAGACAUCAUUCCCACCUCAGAGGUUCAGGGCCUCUGAGGUGACCUGCUUCCUUCCAUCGUCCUCAUCUCAGCCAAGAGCCGCUCCAUCUUUUCUGUUACUGGGGCACAAACAUUUGGACUCGUUCCUCAUUCCUCUGUCUCCUCACAUCCAGUUCCUGGGGAAUUCCUGUGGGCUAUAUCAAGCACGCCACAACCCAACCAUGGCUCUCAGACUCUGCAGCUGCUGCCUGGGCCGACCCCCACCUGUCCUGCCUGGGUUGGUUCCUCAGCCCGCCCCCGUCUAUGCUGAAUGGAGCUGCCCUCCGCAGGACCUACAUCAGCCUCUGCCAGCAGCCUAGUGGCUGCUCUGAGUCUCCAAGGUCCUGCUCUGGGACCAAGCCCUGCCUUGCCUCUGGCCUGGCCCUGGUGCUCUCCCCCACUCACUUCCAACUGCAUGGCUCUCCUGGCCCAUGCGAGGCCCUCACACCACAAGGCCUACGCUCUUAGACCUGCGUGGCCUGUCCUGCUGGCUCUUCCCUCCCUCAGGUGUACAGGCAGAUAUCCACCUGGGUGGCUCAUCGGCUGAGUGCCUGCCUUUGGCCCAGGGCAUGACCCCGGGAUCCCGGGUUCGAGUCCCACAUUGGGCCCCCUGCAUGGAGCCUGCUUCUCCCUCUGCCUCUGUGUCUACAUUCUCUCUCUCUCUCUCUCUCUCUCUCUCUCUCUGCCUCUCAUGAAUAAAUACAUAAAAUCUAAAAAAAUAAAAAAGAUAUCCACUGAGGUCUCUCCUGACCAGUCUGGCAAUAAAACCCCAUCGUUUGAGAACUUA